GACGUAGGAGGCGAGCGUUGUCCGGAUUUACUGGGCGUAAAGGGUGCGUAGGCGGGUCUUUAAGUCAGGGGUGAAAUCCUGGAGCUCAACUCCAGAACUGCCUUUGAUACUGAAGAUCUUGAGUUCGGGAGAGGUGAGUGGAACUGCGAGUGUAGAGGUGAAAUUCGUAGAUAUUCGCAAGAACACCAGUGGCGAAGGCGGCUCACUGGCCCGGUACUGACGCUGAGGUGCGAAAGCGUGGGGAGCAAACAGG
rnacentral:rRNA from 1 species